AUUGAACGCUGGCGGCAGGCUUAACACAUGCAAGUCGAGCGGGGGAGGUUGCUUCGGUAACUGACCUAGCGGCGGACGGGUGAGUAAUGCUUAGGAAUCUGCCUAUUAGUGGGGGACAACAUUCCGAAAGGGAUGCUAAUACCGCAUACGCACUACGGGGGAAAGCAGGGGAUCUUCGGACCUUGCGCUAAUAGAUGAGCCUAAGUCGGAUUAGCUAGUUGGUGGGGUAAAGGCCUACCGAGGCGACGAUCUGUAGCGGGUCUGAGAGGAUGAUCCGCCACACUGGGACUGAGACACGGCCCAGACUCCUACGGGAGGCAGCAGUGGGGAAUAUUGGACAAUGGGCGGAAGCCUGAUCCAGCCAUGCCGCGUGUGUGAAGAAGGCCUUUUGGUUGUAAAGCACUUUAAGCGAGGAGGAGGCUCUUAAGGUUAAUACCCUUGAUGAGUGGACGUUACUCGCAGAAUAAGCACCGGCUAACUCUGUGCCAGCAGCCGCCGUAAAAC
rnacentral:rRNA from 1 species